rnacentral:rRNA from 1 species
CACUCGUAUACGGGUUCGACCUCAGUUGAAGAAAUACGGAACUAAAAUAAACGGCCACCUAGUUGAGUUAUACUGUGGUAGACAAAGUACAGUUUACGUCCUAUAUUGGUUGUAUUUGUGUUACGAAUGUUCCUCUAUAGCCGAGUAAACUAACGAUAUAACCGAAACCAGUGGGAACGCUCCGAGGAAUAGAAACUUCGUUCCCCGCCUACGAGAAACCUGAGUCCUUCUGCUUGUACUAUCUCUUUCUUUCCCUAGUUGGAACGGUACUGGGGUAUAAAGACAUCCGAUUAUAGGGAAUAAACGUGAUAGGAUGUGGCUUAUGAAUAUCCCAAUACACGGAAACGGUACGUCGUGUACAGUUACCGUCAAGUCCUUCUCUACUGUAGUGUUCACUCGAGUUAACUAUUCGGGCGAUCGUCUUUUACACCAAACUCGGACGAGGUUGGGGAGGAGACUACACCACACCACCCUCUUCCUUCUUCUCGUACGUACGAGAGACAGAUGUAGGUCGCAGGUGUGCCGAUCUAGCUGCCCAGAUUUGAUACCGCUGAACUGUUAAGAAGCAGAAAAUGCUGUGCCUAGGCGCCGUGUCAUCCUCUCCACUGCGGCCGGCCGUCGCGGAGUGGCGGUCGAUAACAAACCGCGGCCGUUCCUCUUCCCGCGAAUCCUAGACGACGCAACACGUACCGACAACUUCAAGUCGUAGCGGUACUACACAUAACAAAGAGAUAAAAGGAGUAUAACGGUACAAGGGUUAAAAUGUUUGACGAUACACUACGUGUUACCGGUGCGGUGCGUGACCACUCUAAGUUCCACGUCAGCUCGUUCUCAGUCAAGCUCCACUCCACAGAGUGCAGCUAGAGGACAACGAGUGGUCGCUCCGAGCGACUGCUCGCCGGUCUAGGUGUGCUCCACCUACAGUGUGUGUGCCGGGAGAGGGGAGGUAGGAAAGAGAAAGGAUGUUGAUAAUACAGAAACAUGGAACAAUAUAACGAGAAAGUAGGUACCACUAUUUCUACAAUUGAGUCAAACUAUUACCUCAGUGUCUAAACAUAGACUAUUAAGAACCUUAAGUUUAACAUUGUAGGUAUGAUUAAACAACCAAACAGAGUUGGUUAUUAAGUUACAUUUGGAUAAUUGUACUUAAAAUACCCAUAUGUAACAGAGGAGGAUACGGUUAACUAAAAGAGGUCUAAUCAACCUGGUAUUAAAAGUUCUUCCAAUGUUUGGAUCGUUACUUACUCUGAUAGUAAUACUAACUUCUAUCGACUGACACUGUUAACAAAGAAAACUUCAAAGUGACAAAUACCUCCACUGUUACGAUCUAUAUAUGUAGACAUAGUACCGUGAAGAGGUCGUUUGUUUUCGAACCGUCGGUAGAUGAAAGUCUCUCAAACUUUUGCAUGAUAGUGCGAUUGAGUGAAUAGGUCUAAUUACCAUUCACACACAAAAGAACAUAUGGCUAGAUGUCUUGAUGUUAACUCUAGAGAUGGAGGAGAUAAAGGGAAAACAGUAGAAAAGACCGAAAAUACGAUGAUGAGUUUUACAAACUGAUAAGUUAAUAUUUGCAGUACGUCGUCACGACUGAAAGAAUGAGGGAAAUCUGUACUAAAGGGACAGGUUUGUAAGUCGACUUGGCUGUGAUCGUUAUAACUAGUCGACUUGAACGUCUUCCCCUCUCCAUGAUUUCCUUGUAGAAUGCAUAAAAACCAGAGUAUAAGAAACUCAUGUAUUGAUAGGUAAAUAAUUUUUGAUAUAAACUACCUGUUUAACUUGUUGUGUUAAAUUCCUACUAUUUUUAUUAUUAAAAUUGUUCACCUUCAUUACAUACCAUGGCACAUUUUUACUUUCCAUAUCAAAAGGGUGAGGAGGUUCUACUCAAGUCACGGACACAAAUUUGGUACCUACGUCUCUACCAGUCCAGUUUACUUUACAUACUUAUGAUGAUGUUAACAACUUGUAAACUACUUUAGUCUUCAAUUCAUCUAAUGUAUAUACAUUCAAUCAGAACACCGACUACGAAAGUGGUACUAUUUAUAUUGGGGCUUGCGUAUACGGUUGGUUACAAAUUCGCUGAGUUUCUGUUAUUGAUUACGAUUUAUAACUACGGACGACGAAUCCCCGUGAUAGACCGUACCAAGUUUUCUCUCCAUUAACAUGGACUUCGUCACCUGUGUUGGUAAGGAACGUAAACAUUCUCAACACGUCAUCAUAUUAUUGGCAGAAAGAAACUCCUCGUCACAGCAAUUAAAAGUCAUCUUCAUGUCCAUGUGCAAGGACAAGACGACUGAUUACCUUUUUUUCACUAUUGUCUAAGACAAUAAGUCCCUCGUUCUCGGUUUUAAAGAAGUUGAUCGAAGAGGAUUCAACGGGUGGAGAAAGGAGCCCGUACUGAGGUACCGAACCUUUUCCGUCGUCUUAGUUGUGUUAGUGGAACUAGACCUUCCACCUUACACAAACGAAUCUAGCUUCCUCCUAGGACCGGAGAGGCUCGGGGCCUCCGGGCAACGGAACCAUUUUAUCGAGGAAAUGGUCUGAGGGAACGAGGUACCGGUCUCCGUGGCCCUGACGCACUGCUGCUCGUCUAAGCUUCGUUCGGUAAUUAGUUGAGCCCUACGUUUGAGCGCCGCGCUCCCUCUCUCUUUCACUCCCCCUACACCGACCGACUGGAGCCACAAAGGCCGCCUGGAUGACCAUGAGGCUGGUCUACAUAGGCCGCCGUCGUCAACCCCGAGGCCACCUCAGCCCCGCCGCCGUCCACUGACCUGGCGCGCACCACCUCUUGACCUCCUCUCCCUUGGCUCGGGGUGUGAGUGCUCGGCAAAGAACCUCGCUGAGGAGUGUACGCCGUGCGCCGGCCAUCGGCUGUCGCCUCCAUGUGCGCACCGACUUCGCGAUACCCCCGGUGUUCCGUCCGCCAAGGAAAAAAUAACUAAACAGUACGCACGUACGGAAGGACUAACGAACAACAACGGCUGUGUAAUUCACUAGUGCACAGACAUUAGGUACCGGCAAGAAAGACUCUCUGUCACCCUUAUGUUUAUGACUCUAAACGAAUG